AAUUCAGCGAGUUCUUAUACAAAACUAAUAUUCGAUAAUGUAAUUUACAGCUGUUCCCUCUUAUGGCUCUGUUGUCAUUCCUGUGCCUGUUUAGCAGCAGUUUAAACUGGAAAUUCAUUGUCCGGCUCUCUAUCAAACUUGUUGGCGGCUACUAACUUUUGGUCAUCAAACCGUUAUUCACAACGUUUAGCAUAAAACUGUUCCAGCAAAACCCACUUAUAUACUUUGGAAAACUGGUAAACAAAUAACGGCAGUUUUUCCACAAUAGUGCUUGCUGUUAAUAACAGUGAAGCAAGAUGUUAAGCUUUCGGAUGCAAAACAUAUAAAGUGGAAGAGGAAGACAGUCGAACAAUAGAAGACAAUUAAAGAAAUAAAUAAAACACUGUGGGAUUGUGCAUGGAAGUUGAGUUCUGUUUGCCACCGAUGUAACGAGAAAAGCUGCUACACGUCGUUCUCGCUUUUCGCGACAGUCGCAAAACAGUUUUACAUGAGCCAACUAUGAAAAUUGGCGUUAAUUAAACUAAGAGAAACCUACGGCAAAAAUUGUAAACGCCAAAAUGUGGAUACAACCCAAAGAGCUGCUGCUACCGUCGGCAUUUUGGACCGCCGAAAUGUACUCCAGGUAUUUUGUGCUACAGAAGCGACGCGGACAUGGCGAAUCGCGUGGAUUUGGCUCAAUGCUGGUGGGCACCUUCGACAGCGUGAUGAACACAAAGCCGGCGCCCUAUCGAAUACUGCAUCAGACGCCGUCCUCGGAAGUGUCUUAUGAAAUUGCCAUUGGCAUAACACAAGAUGACAUCGUCAAGGAUUGGGAAUGGCUGCAGACCAAUCUCUUCAGCGUGCUCAACGAAAUGGAAAACGAGGAUGAAGUUACAAACUUUACCAUAUGCAAAAUACAAUCGCUCUAUGCUCAAAAUAAUCAAGACGAAUCUGGCGAAUCGCCAGACUUCAAAGUGAAGUCCUCUAACUUUAGACAAAUCUUCAAGAUGCCCGAAGAGGAACGCCUGGUCAACUCGUACUCGGCCACCUAUAUUAAGAAUAAAAUACCGCGCCAGGGGCAGUUGUACAUCUCGUUGAACCAUGUGUGUUUCUACUCGCUCAUGCUUAACCAGGAGAUCAAGCUAAUCAUACGCUUCGCUGAGCUGGAGGACAUCAGUCGCAGUGGCAAUACAAUUUAUCUGAAGACUACCAACAACAUGACGUACAAUUUUACGCUGAUGUUCAACAUGAAUGAGGCACACGUCCUCAUUGAACAGCUGAACAAAAUGGCCAUCCAAAAGUUAAUACAUGACCCAGAGAGUCCCGUUGUGGACCAUGAUCCAUCGAAUUUUGCACGUCUUGGCGCUAAAACUUCAAAGAAGUCGGUGCUGCUGCGUGACUUGACGGCUCGUCAAAAAUCUGAAGAGUUUCGCGUUUACUUUCGUCUGCCGCAAACGGAAAUUAUUGAUGGCAAGAUUAAAGCCGACAUAUGGACUCCGUACUCAAAGCGAUUCAAUGCCGGCUACAUUUAUCUGUCGCCCAAUUUCUUUUGCUUUCGCAGCGAUGUCAAGGAUUUGGUUAGCGUCGUAAUACCAAUGAAAACUAUUAAGAGUGUUGAGAAGAAGGACGAUGGUCAGCAACGUUUUGACAAUCAAAUUGUCAUCUUUACAGCGGAGAAUGUGCCUUUUAUGUUCGCCAAAAUUGCGGAUCGCGAGGUGCUCAUCUCGAAAAUAACAGAUCUACUGUCGCGAAUUCAUAUACCGGUUAGUCGCGAACGUGCCAAGUACGAUAUCUCGUGGAGCAAACAGACCGCUCUGCUCAACACAUUCAAGACGGAGUUCAGCGCGGACAUACAGAAGAAGCAGGAGCUAAAACUGGCACGCUGGGAAGAACAUUUUCGCGAUUUUGGACGCGGCAUUGCUAUGUAUCGCACCACAGAUGUGAUCAAUUUAAUUGUGGAGGGGAUACCGGACAAGCUUAGGCAGGAGAUUUGGCUAAUCUUCUCUGGCGCUAUACACGACAAAGAAAUGAAUCCCGGUCUGUAUGAGGAUUUGGUGGAGAAAGCCGCUUGCAUUAAAGAUUCGUAUACGCACGAGGAAAUCGAUAGGGACUUGAAGCGUUCGCUGCCCGAGCAUCCGGCAUUCCAAUGUACCGAUGGCACCGGCGCCCUGAGACGAGUGCUGCAGGCAUAUGCGCUGCGCAAUCCGCAGGUGGGCUACUGUCAGGCCAUGAACAUUGUUUCAUCGGUGUUUCUGCUCUUUUGCGAUGAGGAGAACGCCUUUUGGAUGCUGGCCAGCCUCUGCGAGAAUCUGUUGCCAGACUACUACAAGGACAAGGUUGUGGGUGCCCAGAUUGAUCAGGGCGUGCUUAAUGAGCUGGUGGAGACAUAUCUGUCGGAUUUGCAUGAGCAUCUGGAACGACUUAACGUUAUUAAAAUGAUCUCCAUCUCGUGGUUUCUCGCCAUAUUCAUAAGUGUGAUCAGCUACGAGAGUUCCUUGCAAAUAUUGGACUGCUUCUUCUACGAAGGCGCCAAGAUAAUUUUCAUGGUCUCACUGCAGAUCAUUGAAUGGAACCGCGACAAGCUGCUCAACUGUCAGGACGAUGGGGAGGCCAUGCUGGUAUUGCAAACCUAUUUAGAGGGAAUCUACAAUCCCGAAUACCAAGUGCCACAGACCGCGGACAAGCGCGAGCGAGUGCGCACCCAAACAGUGCAGACUCUGAUACACGAAGCGUAUACGAAAUUCGGCGAGGAGCUGACGCAGCAGCGCAUCGAGGAGCUGCGCAAUAAGCAUCGUCGCCUCACCAUGCGACAGUUCGACAUUGACAACGAGAAGACCAUUGUAAAGGCCCAUAUGCAGAAUGUGUACUUUGAGCGGCAGGAACUGCACAUGCUGCUCACAAUAAUACGGGAGGAGAAGCUGACACUCAAGUCUAUGCAGCAGCAGCAGCAGAAGGCCCAAUGCCACAUGAGUGAAGCGCCGCAGCUGCUGCCUCAUCAUCAGUCACCGACACGUGCUGGACUUGGCGAUGUUAUGCCCGGUGGCGGCAAUGGACGGCAUGAGGCUUACAGCGUCAACUUUGAAGUAUUCCACACGCUCUUCACAGAGCUAACGCCCUGGCGCAAGUGCGUCAGCGUUGAUGUUGGCGAAAAAUUGUUCAGGCUGACGGACAAAAAAGGCACCGGACAACUGGACUUUGGUCAGCUAAUCAAUGCUUUUGGCAUGGUCUGCUCCAGCAAGAGCACGGAGAAACUGAAGCUGCUCUUUGUGUUGCAUUUGCCGCCGCUGCUGUCGAAGGCCGAAAUUGAACGCAUGCGACGUCCGCGACCGCGGACCAAAGAUGAUGCCGAGGAGGCAUUCGAAGCAGAGGAUUUCUUUGACGAGGAUGCCUCAGAGUCGAUUGAAGCGCUGCCGUCUCCAUCGGAUCACAACUUUGAUGCCGAUGACUAUGCGCUGGUUAGCGCCACGCAGCAUUUGCAUAAUCUGGCUGGCAUUUCGGGUAACACAUUCAUGGAUUUGUCAAGGACAACGCCGAAUCUUUCGCUGAAUUCGAAUGCAUCGUCGCUGGCGCAGCGCAACUCGACUUUUUAUGUGGAUCUGCCCGCUGCACUCCAGGGUACUGCAACACGCACAGAUGCUGGGCAGGAUGACGACAACGACAUCGGCCUACGCCAGCAGGGACGUUACGAAUCGAUUGACACAUUUUCGGAUAUUUCAGAUCUGGGCGCGGCACGCAUAACGCCGCCGCAAACAUCGACGACAGCUGCAGCCGCAACUGCUGCAGAACAAAUGCUACUGAACGUUGAGACUAUAUCGAAUUUCUCACAGAUCAGCGACCUGGUCGCGGCCACGCGUCUAGAGCGCGCCGAUUCGAAUGCAACGGACACACGCAGCUUGGGCAGCCUCGGCUAUUUGCUGGAUGAGGGUGCCUCCGCCACUGGACAGCACCGUCAGGUACCCAACAUGCGCAAGGAGAACUUCCAGCUGUUGUGGCGUAGCAUCAUUGAGAUAAUGGGCUGUGUACAGGACGAGGAUAUGCGACGUGCAUACGAAAAUCUCAUUGAAAUGGGCAACAGCAAUAUCAAGAAGGAGCCAAGCUUGGAGAGUUUCACGCAGCUCAAUUUGGGCGGCAGCAGCGAUGAGCAACCGGAUAGCAAUGGAAAUCCCACAACACCCGCGGCAGAGCCCAGCAGCACGACACGUUUAUUUGUGGCUCUCGAGGAGGAGUUGCGUCAGGCACAAGCAGGAACAGCCGCUGUAGCUGGAACAUCAGCAACAGCGACCACAUCCAACAGCAGCGGCAGCAGCAGUAGCACAAACACCUCGGAUGCCUGGAAUAUAUCCAUUAAUCAGUUUAUAGCCACAGUACUCACUUGCGAAUGCAUUGUUAAAGCAUUCCAGACGCGCACCCACAUCGUGGAGCAGAUUGAACAGCUGCAGAAGAAGCGACCGCACAGGCAUUAGGAAGAGCCAGAAACGCUUUAAGGCACAUUUCGUAAUGUGGAUUUAAGAAAAACCACAUCGAUUUAAUAAGCUAUAGUUAGGAACAGCUGUGCGCCAGCAAGUCGCAGCCGGUGUCGGGACAUUCGUCAUAAUUCUAGCGAAUUGCGCUAAUGAAAAGCAUAAAACAACAGCUUAGCAGCUGGGUAACCUCCUGCUCCGGUUGACAGGAAUAGCUGCCGGAAAGGCCGAAGGACACGCGAACGUGGAACUGCCAUGUUGACAAGGAAAUUAAGAAUUUACUGAUUGAAUUUUAUGACUCUAUAUCUGAGCUGCUUAUGUAAAUCGCAUUCUAAACCAGGCCAGGCCAUAAAAUGGCCCAGAUGCGAGUGCACAAGUCCUUAAAGGCGCAGAAACCAGCCUGGAAGACAGGCAGGCAGACAGUCGGAAAGCGUAAAUCAAUUUGCGGCUCAGGUUUGAUAAAGACUUCCUUUUGGAUUCGGCAGCCUCUUUAGC